rnacentral:rRNA from 1 species
GAGAGAGACAUGCGCGCAUAUCAAUAAGCGGAGGAAAAGAAACUAACAAGGAUUCCCUUAGUAACGGCGAGUGAAGCGGGAAGAGCUCAAAUUUGAAAUCUUCAAGGUUCUACCUUGACGAAUUGUAGUUUAAAGAAGUGUUUUCUGUUGAAGUUUUGGUAAAAGUUCUUUGGAAUAGGACAUCAUAGAGGGUGAGAAUCCCGUAUUUGACCAUUAUUUUCCAGCUUUGUGAUACACUUUCAAAGAGUCGGAUUGUUUGGGAAUGCAGUCCAAAAUGGGUGGUAAAUUUCAUCUAAAGCUAAAUAUCGGCGAGAGACCGAUAGCGAACAAGUACCGUGAGGGAAAGAUGAAAAGAACUUUGAAAAGAGAGUUAAACAGUACGUGAAAUUGUCAAAAGGGAAGCGUUUGGACACCAGUGUUGUUUUCUCGAAAAUCAAUUAAAAAAGGCAGGAUUUUGUGUUGUAUUGACUUUAUCAGCUUUCUGCACUCUUUUCUUGUCUUUUUUUAAUACACUUUUCGUUUAACAAGUCAACAUCAAUUUCUUUUGUUGUAAAAGGGUCAUUGGAAGGUGGCUUUCUUUUUGGAGAAAGUGUUUAUAGCCUUUGGCCUCUGCAAUCGGAGAGAUUGAGGUCUGCAGCGUAGAUCCUUCGGGGUUAGAUACAUUUGUGCUAAGUUAUAGCCUUUCAUAGACAACUUGUUGACUAUGAUCAGUCAUGUAGCUUACUCGCUUAUGCUAUUUUACCUACGCUUAGGAUGUUGAAGUCAUCGUAUCGCGC